UACAGGGGGGGGCAAGUGUUACUCAUCUUGAUUGGGCGUAAAGGGCGUGUAGGUGGCUAAUGGUGUUUAUUAUAAAAGUUGUUUGAAUGGUUCAAAUAAGUAAUUCAUAACUCAUUAGCUAGAGUUUGUGGGGUGGUUGCGGUACUCUCAGUGUAAAGGUAACAUUUAACGAUAUUGACGGGGACUCAUCGAAAAGCGAAAGCAAGCAUCCAAAAACAUAACUGACAACUGAAACGC
rnacentral:rRNA from 1 species